rnacentral:rRNA from 1 species
CCGCCAGAGAACUACUAGUGAAAAACUUAAAACUCAAAGGACUUGGCGGUGUCCCACUUCGGCCUAGAGGAGCCUGUCCUAUAAUCGAUACCCCUCGCUCCACCCGACCUUUACUUGCACAUUCAGCCUAUAUACCGCCGUCGACAGUCUACCCCAUGAGGGUUUAUUAGUAGACACAAUAGCAAAAGCUCGCUAACACGUCAGGUCAAGGUGUAGCAAAUGUUAAGGAAGUGAUUGGCUACAUUUUUUACUUUAAAAAAACGAAAUGCAACAUGAAACAAUGCACGAAGGUGAAUUUAGUAGUAAAAU